rnacentral:rRNA from 2 species
AAUGGCUCAUUAAAUCAGUUAUCGUUUAUUUGAUAGUACCUUACUACUUGGAUAACCGUGGUAAUUCUAGAGCUAAUACAUGCUGAAAACCCCGACUUCGGAAGGGGUGUAUUUAUUAGAUAAAAAACCAAUGCCCUUCGGGGCUCCUUGGUGAUUCAUAAUAACUUCUCAGAUCGCAUGGCCUUGCGCCGGCGACGGUUCAUUCAAAUUUCUGCCCUAUCAACUUUCGAUGGUAAGGUAUUGGCUUACCAUGGUUUCAACGGGUAACGGGGAAUUAGGGUUCGAUUCCGGAGAGGGAGCCUGAGAAACGGCUACCACAUCCAAGGAAGGCAGCAGGCGCGCAAAUUACCCAAUCCCGACACGGGGAGGUAGUGACAAUAAAUACUGAUACAGGGCUCUUUUGGGUCUUGUAAUUGGAAUGAGUACAAUUUAAACCUCUUAACGAGGAACAAUUGGAGGGCAAGUCUGGUGCCAGCAGCCGCGGUAAUUCCAGCUCCAAUAGCGUAUAUUAAAGUUGUUGCAGUUAAAAAGCUCGUAGUUGAACCUUUGGCCUGGCUGGCAGGUCCGCCUCACCGCGUGCACUUGUCCGGCCGGGCCUUCUUUUCUGGAGAACCGCAUGCCCUUCACUGGGUGUGUUGGGGACCAGGACUUUUACUUUGAAAAAAUUAGAGUGUUCAAAGCAGGCCUUUGCUCGAAUACGUUAGCAUGGAAUAAUAGAAUAGGACGUGCGGUCCUAUUUUGUUGGUUUCUAGGACCGCCGUAAUGAUUAAUAGGGACAGUCGGGGGCAUCAGUAUUCAAUUGUCAGAGGUGAAAUUCUUGGAUUUAUUGAAGACUAACUACUGCGAAAGCAUUUGCCAAGGAUGUUUUCAUUAAUCAGUGAACGAAAGUUAGGGGAUCGAAGACGAUCAGAUACCGUCGUAGUCUUAACCAUAAACUAUGCCGACUAGGGAUCGGGCGGUGUUAUUAUUUUGACUCGCUCGGCACCUUACGAG